CUCCACCGGGUGGAAGACUAGGGAGGAAGUAAAUGCAGGAAAAAAACAGGAACGUGAUCAUUUGAAUCAGAAUAAAGGAAAACACAGCUUCCUUGAAAAACGGAUGUUUCUGUUGGAUGCCGUGACUUCAGAAAAUGGAGACCAGAUUAUUUCCACCGAGACUGAGCAACAGCCAAACCAGAGGUAGAACAAUUCUGGGAGCAUCACUUUUAUAGAUGAGGAAAGAGGAAGAACUGAAACUCUCCACGGAAUUUAUGAACAAUUUUUCUUUAGAACUUCUCAACUAGUCCAAUUAUUCUUGCUCUGUGCUCUCUGACAUCCAACACAAAGAAGCUGGUUGGAGCAAACUAAACUUCCUUCGUCCCUCUGUGCAAAAAGAAAGACUGCCGAACAAGCACAGCCGGCAUACUGGUUUGAAGUGGAUUCGAAAAAUUUAAGGAAGGGAAAAUAAAACCUCCAAACCCUAAAAAACUAUGUCCUUUC